rnacentral:rRNA from 1 species
AACGAACGCUGGCGGCAGGCCUAACACAUGCAAGUCGAGCGCGCCCUUCGGGGUGAGCGGCGGACGGGUGAGUAACGCGUGGGAACGUGCCCUUUUCUACGGAAUAGCCUCGGGAAACUGAGAGUAAUACCGUAUACGCCCUUUGGGGGAAAGAUUUAUCGGAAAAGGAUCGGCCCGCGUUGGAUUAGGUAGUUGGUGGGGUAAUGGCCUACCAAGCCGACGAUCCAUAGCUGGUUUGAGAGGAUGAUCAGCCACACUGGGACUGAGACACGGCCCAGACUCCUACGGGAGGCAGCAGUGGGGAAUCUUAGAUAAUGGGGGCAACCCUGAUCUAGCCAUGCCGCGUGAGUGAUGAAGGCCUUAGGGUUGUAAAGCUCUUUCAGCUGGGAAGAUAAUGACGGUACCAGCAGAAGAAGCCCCGGCUAACUCCGUG